UGGGGAAUAUUGCACAAUGGGCGCAAGCCUGAUGCAGCCAUGCCGCGUGUGUGAAGAAGGCCUUCGGGUUGUAAAGCACUUUCAGCGAGGAGGAAGGUGGUGAACUUAAUACGUUCAUCAAUUGACGUUACUCGCAGAAGAAGCACCGGCUAACUCCGUGCCAGCAGCCGCGGUAAUACGGAGGGUGCAAGCGUUAAUCGGAAUUACUGGGCGUAAAGCGCACGCAGGCGGUUUGUUAAGUCAGAUGUGAAAUCCCCGGGCUCAACCUGGGAACUGCAUUUGAAACUGGCAAGCUAGAGUCUCGUAGAGGGGGGUAGAAUUCCAGGUGUAGCGGUGAAAUGCGUAGAGAUCUGGAGGAAUACCGGUGGCGAAGGCGGCCCCCUGGACGAAGACUGACGCUCAGGUGCGAAAGCGUGGGGAGCAAAACAGGAUUAGAGUACCCUGGUAGUCCACGCUGUAAACGAUGUCGAUUUGGAGGUUGUGCCCUUGAGGCGUGGCUUCCGGAGCUAACGCGUUAAAUCGACCGCCUGGGGAGUACGGCCGCAAGGUU
rnacentral:rRNA from 1 species